UUGAACUUGGGAUACCCAAGGAAAACUUUGGUAAAACCGGAUAAACACAUCAGAGCCACGCCACUAUUGAAAGGAGUCUUGGCUUCUCUAAAAGAGUGUCCUUAGCACCAUAGCUAGUGGGUGAUAUCACAUCACACCAUGAGUAGGAUGCGUAACCGAAUUGAGAAGCUGAUUGGCCCACAUUGGAAUUGAGACACGGUCCAAAUCCUACGGUAGGGCAAUAGUAAGGAGUUUUUCGCCAAUGGGGGAAACCCUGACCGAGCAACGCCGGGUGACUGAUGAGGUCCAUAUGGGUUAAAAAUUUUGUUGUAAAGGAUGAAUUACGGGAUGAGGAAAUGAGCUGUGUUUGACGGAAGCCCCCAGAAAACCACGGCAACUACGUCCCAGCAGCCAGGAGACUAGGUAGGUGGCAAGUGUUAUCGGGAAUUGUUGGGUGUAAAGAGUGAGCAGGUGGCAGUUUAAAUCUGAGGUGUAAACGUGGGGCUCACCCCCAUAUAGCCAGGAAACUGGACAGCUAGAGUACGAGAGAGGUAAACGGAACUCCAUGUGUAGCGGUGAAAUGGGUAGAUAUAUGGAAGAACACCAGUGGCGAAGGCGGUUUACUAGCUCGAUACGGACGAUCAGUCGGGAAAGAGUGGGUAGCAAAUAGGAUUAGAUACCCUAGUAGUCCACGCUGUAAACGAUGAGAGCUAAAUAUUGCCGUGAGGCAGUGUUGAAGCUAACGCAUUAAGUUCUCCGCGUGGGGAGUACGCUCGCAAGAAUGAAAAAAAAGGAAUUGGGGGGGGACCCGCACAAGCAGUGGAGCAUGUGGUUUAAUUCGACGCUACGCGACCAACCUUACCAGGGCAUGACAUGGAGGUAAAGGCUCUAGAGA
rnacentral:rRNA from 1 species